GUACUACUGAGGAGUCCCGAACUAGGACGAGACAGCUGUCCAGUAC
rfam:Trichobilharzia regenti genome assembly, scaffold: TRE_scaffold0011123